GACGAACGCUGGCGGCGUGCCUAAUACAUGCAAGUUGAGCGAUGAAGAUUGGUGCUUGCACCAAUUUGAAGAGCAGCGAACGGGUGAGUAACGCGUGGGGAAUCUGCCUUUGAGCGGGGGACAACAUUUGGAAACGAAUGCUAAUACCGCAUAACAACUUUAAACAUAAGUUUUAAGUUUGAAAGAUGCAAUUGCAUCACUCAAAGAUGAUCCCGCGUUGUAUUAGCUAGUUGGUGAGGUAAAGGCUCACCAAGGCGAUGAUACAUAGCCGACCCGAGAGGGUGAUCGGCCACAUUGGGACGGAGACACGGCCCAAACUCAUACGGGAGGCAGCAGGAGGGAAUCGUCGGCAAUGGACGAAAGUCUGACCGAGCAACGCCGCGUGAGUGAAGAAGGUUUUCGGAUCGUAAAACUCUGUUGGUAGAGAAGAACGUUGGUGAGAGUGGAAAGCUCAUCAAGUGACGGUAACUACCCAGAAAGGGACGGCUAACUACGUG
rnacentral:rRNA from 1 species